GCCCUCGUAGUUCAACGGACAGAACACGGGAUUGCGGAUCCCGCGAUAGAGGUUCGACUCCUCUCGAGGGCG
rnacentral:tRNA from 1 species